CGGAUAGAGCCAGCGAAGUCGCUCGUAUUCAGCCAAAAGUCUGGGGUUGCCUGUCGUCGUGUUUCUAAUCGAGCACGGCGGUUUGUCUUCUCUGGAUUGAGGUGCAUUUGCGGGCGUUUGCGCUGAGACUUGCGAGGCAGCUGCGGGACCGGCGUUUAGAGGCUUCCCAUUGGGUUGAACCUGGGCGCCGUUACAGCUGUUUGCCUUGCUCGUACUGGUCUGGCCUACGGACCCUGCUCGUGCUGUUGUCUACUGGCCAAGGCAUCGCAUGCGAUGUCUAGCCUGGGGGCUGCAGCGCGGGUUGGUGUCCCCGGAUCGCCUCUCGGUGUAGAAGCUGGUCAUCUCUCCGACCCGUCUUGAAACACGGACCAAGGAGUUUAGCGUAUGCGCGAGUCAUUGGGUGUUAAAACCCACAGGCGCAAUGAAAGUGAAGGCUCGGUCGCCGGGCUGACAUGCGAGUGCCGCGGCUUCGGCCCAGGCAUGCAGCAUGGUCCCAUUGCAAUCGUUUACGAUGCAGUGGAGACAGAGCGUAUGCGCUGAG
rnacentral:rRNA from 1 species